GACAGCAGUAGCCGCGGUAAUGCGUAGGUGGCAAGCGUUGUCCGGAUUUAUUGGGCGUAAAGCGAGCGCAGGCGGUCAAUUAAGUCUGAUGUGAAAGCCCCCGGCUCAACCGGGGAGGGUCAUUGGAAACUGGUUGACUUGAGUGCAGAAGAGGAGAGUGGAAUUCCAUGUGUAGCGGUGAAAUGCGUAGAUAUAUGGAGGAACACCAGUGGCGAAGGCGACUCUCUGGUCUGUAACUGACGCUGAGGCUCGAAAGCGUGGGUAGCAAACAGGAUUAGAUACCCCCGUAGUCCCUGUCUCUUAUAC
rnacentral:rRNA from 1 species